CAGGGAUUGCCCCAGUAACGGCGAGUGAAGCGGCAAGAGCUCAAAUUUUAAAUCUGGGGUCUCCGGCCCCCGAGUUGUAAUUUGGAGAGGCAUCUUCGGGAGGAGCGCUGGCCAAUGUUCCUUGGAACAGGACGUCGCAGAGGGUGAGAAUCCCGUGCCAGGCCAGCCGCGCCCUUCCACGUGAAGCGCCUUCGACGAGUCGAGUUGUUUGGGAAUGCAGCUCCAAGUGGGUGGUAAAUUUCAUCUAAAGCUAAAUACCGGCGAGAGACCGAUAGCGCACAAGUAGAGUGAUCGAAAGAUGAAAAGCACUUUGAAAAUAGAGUCAAAAAGUACGUGAAAUUGUUGAAAGGGAAGCGCUUGAGACCAGACUCGGAGCGAGGCAAACAUCUGGCCCCGCGGGGCCGUGCACUUGCCUCGGGCCGGGCCAGCAUCAGUUGGUGCGGCGGGAGAAAGGCGCGGGGAAUGUGGCUCCCCUCGGGGAGUGUUAUUAGCCCCGUGCUCAAUGCCGCCCGCACCGACUGAGGACCGCGCUUCGGCUAGGAUGCUGGCUUAAUGGCCUUCAGCGACCCGUCUUGAAACACGGACCAAGGAGUCUAACAUCUAUGCGAGUGUUUGGGUGCCAAACCCUUUCGCGGAAUGAAAGUGAACGGAGGUGGGAACCCCUCGCCGGGCGCACCAUCGACCGAUCCUGAUGUCUUCGGAUGGAUUUGAGUAGGAGCAUAGCUGUUGGGACCCGAAAGAUGGUGAACUAUGCCUGAAUAGGGUGAAGCCAGAGGAAACUCUGGUGGAGGCUCGCAGCGGUUCUGACGUGCAAAUCGAUCGUCAAAUUUGGGUAUAGGGGCGAAAGACUAAUCGAACCAUCUAGUAGCUGGUUCCUGCCG
rnacentral:rRNA from 1 species